UAAAGCGUGCGCAGGCGGUUUGUAAGACUGUCGUGAAAUCCCCGGGCUCAACCUGGGAAUGGCGAUGGUGACUGCAAGGCUAGAGUUUGGCAGAGGGGGGUAGAAUUCCACGUGUAGCAGUGAAAUGCGUAGAUAUGUGGAGGAACACCGAUGGCGAAGGCACGCCCCCUGGGUCAAAACUGACGCUCAUGCACGAAAGCGUGGGGAGCAAACAGGAUUAGAUCCCGAGU
rnacentral:rRNA from 1 species